rnacentral:rRNA from 1 species
UAGGGAAUAUUGGUCAAUGGGCGAAAGCCUGAACCAGCAACGCCGCGUGUGCGAUGAAGGCCUUCGGGUCGUAAAGCACUUUUCUGGGAGAUGAGAAAGGACAGUAUCCCAGGAAUAGGUCUCGGCUAACUACGUGCCAGCGGCCGCGGUAAAACGUAGGAGGCGAGCGUUAUCCGGAUUCACUGGGCGUAAAGCGCGUGCAGGUGGCCUGGUAAGUUAGGCGUGAAAUCUCCCGGCUCAACUGGGAGAGGUCGUCUAAUACUACCGGGCUUGAGAGCAGAAGAGGAAGAUGAAAUUCCCGGUGUAGUGGUGAAAUGCGUAGAUAUCGGGAGGAACACCAGUGGCGAAGGCGAUCUUCUGGUCUGUUUCUGACACUCAGACGCGACAGCUAGGGUAGUAAACGGGAUUAGAGACCCCGGUAAUCCUAGCCGUAAACGAUGUAAACUUGGCGUUGGUGGGUUAAACUCCAUCAGUGCCGCAGCAAACGCGAUAAGUUACCG